rnacentral:rRNA from 2 species
GAUGAACGCUGGCGGCGUGCCUAAUACAUGCAAGUCGAACGAGUUCUGAUUAUUGAAAGGUGCUUGCAUCUUGAUUUAAUUUUGAACGAGUGGCGGACGGGUGAGUAACACGUGGGUAACCUGCCCUUAAGUGGGGGAUAACAUUUGGAAACAGAUGCUAAUACCGCAUAAAUCCAAAAACCGCAUGGUUCUUGGCUGAAAGAUGGCGUAAGCUAUCGCUUUUGGAUGGACCCGCGGCGUAUUAGCUAGUUGGUGAGGUAACGGCUCACCAAGGCAAUGAUACGUAGCCGAACUGAGAGGUUGAUCGGCCACAUUGGGACUGAGACACGGCCCAAACUCCUACGGGAGGCAGCAGUAGGGAAUCUUCCACAAUGGACGCAAGUCUGAUGGAGCAACGCCGCGUGAGUGAAGAAGGCUUUCGGGUCGUAAAACUCUGUUGUUGGAGAAGAAUGGUCGGCAGAGUAACUGUUGUCGGCGUGACGGUAUCCAACCAGAAAGCCACGGCUAACUACGUGCCAGCAGCCGCGGUAAUACGUAGGUGGCAAGCGUUAUCCGGAUUUAUUGGGCGUAAAGCGAGCGCAGGCGGUUUUUUAAGUCUGAUGUGAAAGCCCUCGGCUUAACCGAGGAAGUGCAUCGGAAACUGGGAAACUUGAGUGCAGAAGAGGACAGUGGAACUCCAUGUGUAGCGGUGAAAUGCGUAGAUAUAUGGAAGAACACCAGUGGCGAAGGCGGCUGUCUGGUCUGUAACUGACGCUGAGGCUCGAAAGCAUGGGUAGCGAACAGGAUUAGAUACCCUGGUAGUCCAUGCCGUAAACGAUGAAUGCUAGGUGUUGGAGGGUUUCCGCCCUUCAGUGCCGCAGCUAACGCAUUAAGCAUUCCGCCUGGGGAGUACGACCGCAAGGUUGAAACUCAAAGGAAUUGACGGGGGCCCGCACAAGCGGUGGAGCAUGUGGUUUAAUUCGAAGCAACGCGAAGAACCUUACCAGGUCUUGACAUCUUUUGAUCACCUGAGAGAUCAGGUUUCCCCUUCGGGGGCAAAAUGACAGGUGGUGCAUGGUUGUCGUCAGCUCGUGUCGUGAGAUGUUGGGUUAAGUCCCGCAACGAGCGCAACCCUUAUGACUAGUUGCCAGCAUUUAGUUGGGCACUCUAGUAAGACUGCCGGUGACAAACCGGAGGAAGGUGGGGAUGACGUCAAAUCAUCAUGCCCCUUAUGACCUGGGCUACACACGUGCUACAAUGGAUGGUACAACGAGUUGCGAGACCGCGAGGUCAAGCUAAUCUCUUAAAGCCAUUCUCAGUUCGGACUGUAGGCUGCAACUCGCCUACACGAAGUCGGAAUCGCUAGUAAUCGCGGAUCAGCACGCCGCGGUGAAUACGUUCCCGGGCCUUGUACACACCGCCCGUCACACCAUGAGAGUUUGUAACACCCGAAGCCGGUGGCGUAACCCUUUUAGGGAGCGAGCCGUCUAAGGUGGGACAAAUGAUUAGGGUG